rnacentral:rRNA from 1 species
CCUACGGGAGGCAGCAGUGGGGGAUAUUGGACAAUGGGCGGAACCCUGAACCAGCGACGCCGCGUGAGUGAAGAAGUAUUUAGGUAUUUUAAGCUCUUUCAGCAGGGAAGAAAGGAAUGACGGUACCUGACCAACAAGCCCCGGCUAACUACGUGCCAGCAGCCGCUGUAAGACGGAGGGGGCAAGCGUUAUCCGGAAUUACUGGGUGUACAGGGAGCGUAGACGGCUGUGCAAGGCUGGAGGGAAAGGCGGGGGCCCAACCCCCGGACUGCUCUGGAAACUGUAUGGCUGGAGAGCAGGAGAGGUACGCGGAAUUCCUAGUGUAGCGGUGAAAUGCGUAGAUAUUAGGAGGAACACCAGUGGCGAAGGCGGCUUACUGGACUGUAACUGACGUUGAGGCUCGAAAGCGUGGGGAGCAAACAGGAUUAGAUACCCCAGUAGUC